GGUACCUAAAGAAUAAGCACCGGCUAACUACGUGCCAGCAGCCGCGGUAAUACGUAGGGUGCGAGCGUUAAUCGGAAUUACUGGGCGUAAAGCGAGCGCAGACGGUUAGUUAAGCAAGAUGUGAAAUCCCCGAGCUCAACUUGGGAACUGCGUUUUGAACUGGCUAGCUAGAGUGUGUCAGAGGGGGGUAGAAUUCCACGUGUAGCAGUGAAAUGCGUAGAGAUGUGGAGGAAUACCGAUGGCGAAGGCAGCCCCCUGGGAUAACACUGACGUUCAUGCUCGAAAGCGUGGGUAGCAAACAGGAUUAGAUCUGUCUCUUAUACACAUCU
rnacentral:rRNA from 1 species